rnacentral:rRNA from 1 species
GACGAACGCUGGCGGCGUGCUUAACACAUGCAAGUCGAGCGGUAAGGCCCUUCGGGGUACGACGAGCGGCGAACGGGUGAGUAACACGUGGGUGACCUGCCCUCAGCUCUGGGAUAAGCCUGGGAAACCGGGGUCUAAUACUGGAUAUGACUCCAUGACGCAUGUUGUGGGGUGGAAAGCCUUGUGCGGCUGAGGAUGGGCCCGCGGCCUAUCAGCUUGUUGGUGGGG